rnacentral:ribozyme from 1 species
GGCAAUCAUUGUCGAAGCCUUUACGUGGCGAUUGCUAUAAGUAGCCAUUUUGUGGCCAUCGUGGUGAAACUAAUUCGGC